rnacentral:rRNA from 1 species
UGGGGAAUUUUGGACAAUGGGCGCAAGCCUGAUCCAGCCAUGCCGCGUGCGGGAAGAAGGCCUUCGGGUUGUAAACCGCUUUUGUCAGGGAAGAAAUCUUCUGAGUUAAUACCUCGGGAGGAUGACGGUACCUGAAGAAUAAGCACCGGCUAACUACGUGCCAGCAGCCGCGGUAAUACGUAGGGUGCAAGCGUUAAUCGGAAUUACUGGGCGUAAAGCGUGCGCAGGCGGUUUUGUAAGACAGAGGUGAAAUCCCCGGGCUCAACCUGGGAACUGCCUUUGUGACUGCAAGGCUUGAGUGCGGCAGAGGGGGGAUGGAAUUCCGCGUGUAGCAGUGAAAUGCGUAGAUAUGCGGAGGAACAUCGAUGGCGAAGGCAAUCCCCUGGGCCUGCACUGACGCUCAUGCACGAAAGCGUGGGGAGCAAACAGGAUUAGAUACCCUGGUAGUCCACGCCCUAAACGAUGUCAACUGGUUGUUGGGAAGGUUCCUUCUCAGUAACGUAGCUAACGCGUGAAGUUGACCG